rnacentral:rRNA from 1 species
UACAGAGGGUGCGAGCGUUGUCCGGAAUCACUGGGCGUAAAGGGCGCGUAGGCGGCUUGAUAAGCGUGCGGUGAAAGCCCGGGGCUCAACCCCGGGUCGGCCGUGCGAACUGUCGAGCUGGAGCACUGUAGAGGCAGGUGGAAUUCCGGGUGUAGCGGUGGAAUGCGCAGAUAUCAGGAAGAACACCAAUGGCGAAGGCAGCUCUCUGGGACGGUACUGACGCUGAGACGCGAAAGCGUGGGGAGCGAACGGG